rnacentral:rRNA from 1 species
UACGAAGGGUGCAAGCGUUACUCGGAAUUACUGGGCGUAAAGCGUGCGUAGGUGGUUCGUUAAGUCUGUCGUGAAAUCCCCGGGCUCAACCUGGGAAUGGCGAUGGAUACUGGCGAGCUAGAGUGAGGUAGAGGAGAGUGGAAUUCCCGGUGUAGCAGUAAAAUGCGUAGAGAUCGGGAGGAACAUCAGUUGCGAAGGCGGCUCUCUGGACCAUCACUGACACUGAGGCACGAAAGCGUGGGGAGCAAACAGG